GAUGAACGCUGGCGGCGUGCCUAAUACAUGCAAGUCGAGCGAACAGACGAGGAGCUUGCUCCUCUGACGUUAGCGGCGGACGGGUGAGUAACACGUGGAUAACCUACCUAUAAGACUGGGAUAACUUCGGGAAACCGGAGCUAAUACCGGAUAAUAUAUUGAACCGCAUGGUUCAAUAGUGAAAGACGGUUUUGCUGUCACUUAUAGAUGGAUCCGCGCCGCAUUAGCUAGUUGGUAAGGUAACGGCUUACCAAGGCGACGAUGCGUAGCCGACCUGAGAGGGUGGACGGCAACACUGGAACUGAGACACGGUCCAGCCUCCUACGGGAGGCAGCAGGAGGGAUUCUCCCGCAAGGGGCGAAAGCCUGAGGGAGCAACGCGGCGGGAGUAAUGAAGGUUUUGGGAUCGUAAACCUCUUUUAUUGGGAAAAAAAAAAGGUGAAAGUAACUAUGCACUUCUUGACGGUACCUAAUCAGAAAGCCACGGCUAACUACGUG
rnacentral:rRNA from 1 species